GUUCCUGUAGCGUAAUGGAUUACUCGUUGGACUUCUAAUCCAAAGAUCGUGGGUUCGAAUUCCACCUGGGACG